rnacentral:rRNA from 1 species
UAUUGGGCGUAAAGCGAGCGCAGGCGGUUUCUUAGGUCUGAUGUGAAAGCCUUCGGCUUAACCGGAGAAGUGCAUCGGAAACCAGGAGACUUGAGUGCAGAAGAGGACAGUGGAACUCCAUGUGUAGCGGUGAAAUGCGUAGAUAUAUGGAAGAACACCAGUGGCGAAGGCGGCUGUCUGGUCUGUAACUGACGCUGAGGCUCGAAAGCAUGGGUAGCGAACAGGAUUAGAUACCCUGGUAGUCCAUGCCGUAAACGAUGAGUGCUAAGUGUUGGAGGGUUUCCGCCCUUCAGUGCUGCAGCUAACGCAUUAAGCACUCCGCCUGGGGAGUACGACCGCAAGGUUGAAACUCAAAGGAAUUGACGGGGGCCCGCACAAGCGGUGGAGCAUGUGGUUUAAUUCGAUGCUACGCGAAGAACCUUACCAGGUCUUGACAUCUUCUGCCAACCUAAGAGAUUAGGCGUUCCCUUCGGGGACAGAAUGACAGGUGGUGCAUGGUUGUCGUCAGCUCGUGUCGUGAGAUGUUGGGUUAAGUCCCGCAACGAGCGCAACCCUUAUUGUUAGUUGCCAGCAUUCAGUUGGGCACUCUAGCAAGACUGCCGGUGACAAACCGGAGGAAGGUGGGGAUGACGUCAAAUCAUCAUGCCCCUUAUGACCUGGGCUACACACGUGCUACAAUGGACGGUACAACGAGUCGCGAAACCGCGAGGUCAAGCUAAUCUCUUAAAGCCGUUCUCAGUUCGGAUUGUAGGCUGCAACUCGCCUACAUGAAGUUGGAAUCGCUA